rnacentral:rRNA from 1 species
UACGGCAGAGGGGGGUGGAAUUCCACGUGUAGCAGUGAAAUGCGUAGAGAUGUGGAGGAACACCGAUGGCGAAGGCAGCCCCCUGGGCCGAUACUGACGCUCAUGCACGAAAGCGUGGGUAGCAAACAGGAUUAGAUACCCUGGUAGUCCACGCCCUAAACGAUGUCAACUAGGUGUUGGGUGGGUAAAACCAUUUAGUACCGUAGCUAACGCGUGAAGUUGACCGCCUGGGGAGUACGGCCGCAAGGUUAAAACUCAAAGGAAUUGACGGGGACCCGCACAAGCGGUGGAUGAUGUGGAUUAAUUCGAUGCAACGCGAAAAACCUUACCUACCCUUGACAUGUCCAGAAGCCCGAAGAGAUUUGGGUGCGCCCGAAAGGGAGCUGGAACACAGGUGCUGCAUGGCUGUCGUCAGCUCGUGUCGUGAGAUGUUGGGUUAAGUCCCGCAACGAGCGCAACCCUUGUCGUUAAUUGCCAUCAUUUAGUUGGGCACUUUAACGAGACUGCCGGUGACAAACCGGAGGAAGGUGGGGAUGACGUCAAGUCCUCAUGGCCCUUAUGGGUAGGGCUUCACACGUCAUACAAUGGUCGGUACAGAGGGUUGCCAAGCCGCGAGGUGGAGCCAAUCCCAGAAAGCCGAUCGUAGUCCGGAUUGCAGGCUGCAACUCGCCUGCAUGAAGUCGGAAUCGCUAGUAAUCGCGGAUCAGCAUGUCGCGGUGAAUACGUUCCCGGGUCUUGUACACACCGCCCGUCACACCAUGGGAGCGGGUUCCGCCAGAAGUAGGUAGCCUAACCGCAAGGAGGGCGCUUACCACGGCGGGGUUCGUGACUGGGGUGAAGUCGUAACAAGGUAACCA